rnacentral:rRNA from 1 species
UCAGGACGAACGCUGGCGGCGUGCCUAACACAUGCAAGUCGAGCGGGGAUGUAUGGAGGAAGUUUCGGAUGGAAUCGAUACAUCUAGCGGCGGACGGGUGAGUAACGCGUGAGCAACCUGCCUUUCACAGGGGGAUAACGGAUCGAAAGAUUCACUAAUACCGCAUGGGACCACGAUACCGAGUGGUAUAGGGGUCAAAGGAGCAAUCCGGUGAAAGAUGGGCUCGCGUCCGAUUAGGUAGUUGGUGGGGGUAAUGGCUCACCAAGCCAAUGAUCGGUAGCCGACCUGAGAGGGUGAUCGGCCACACUGGAACUGAGAGACGGUCCAGACUCCUACGGGAGGCAGCAGUGGGGAAUAUUGGGCAAUAGGGGGGAAACCCUGACCCAGCAACGCCGCGUGAGGGAAGAAGGUUUUCGGAUUGUAAACCUCUGUCCUUGGUGAAGAGCAGAAGACGGUAGCCAAGGAGGAAGCCCCGGCUAACUACGUGCCAGCCGCUGC